rnacentral:rRNA from 1 species
UACGUAGGGCGCAAGCGUUGUCCGGAAUUAUUGGGCGUAAAGAGCUCGUAGGCGGUUUGUCGCGUCUGCUGUGAAAACCUAAGGCUCAACCUUGGGCUUGCAGUGGGUACGGGCAGACUAGAGUGCGGUAGGGGUGACUGGAAUUCCUGGUGUAGCGGUGGAAUGCGCAGAUAUCAGGGAGGGAACACCGAGUGGCGAAGGCA